rnacentral:rRNA from 1 species
GACGAACGCUGGCGGCGUGCUUAACACAUGCAAGUCGAACGGUAAGACCCUGCUUUUGUCCGGUGCUCGAGUGGCGAACGGGUGUGUAACACGUGAGUUACCUGCCCCUUACUUUGGGAUACCUUCAGGAAACUAGGGCUACUACCGGACAGGAGCUCUUGCAGCAUGGUGGGUAUUGGAAAGUUUCGGCGGUUGGGGAUGGACUCGCGGCUAAUCUGCUUGCUGGUGGGGUAGUGGCUUAGCAAAGCUUUGACCGGUCGCCGGCCAGAGAGGGUGACCGGCCACGUUGGAACGGAGAUACGACCCAGACUCCUACGCGAGGCAGCAGUGGAGAAGAGUACACAAUGGGCGGGAGCCUGAUGCAACAACGCCGCGUCCGGGAUGACGACCAGGGGGUUGUAACGCGCAUUCGCCUGUGACGAAGAGUGAGUGACGGAAAUAGAUAAAGAAGCACCGGCUAACUACGUG